rnacentral:rRNA from 1 species
UUGGAGGGCAAGUCUGGUGCCAGCAGCCGCGGUAAUUCCAGCUCCAUAGCGUAUAUUAAAGUUGUUGCAGUUAAAAAGCUCGUAGUUGAACCUUGGGCCUGGCUGGCCGGUCCGCCUCACCGCGUGUACUGGUCCGGCCGGGCCUUNCCUUCUGGGGAACCUCAUGCCCUUCACUGGGCGUGUUGGGGAACCAGGACUUUUACUUUGAAAAAAUUAGAGUGUUCAAAGCAGGCCUUUGCUCGAAUACAUUAGCAUGGAAUAAUAGAAUAGGACGUGUGGUUCUAUUUUGUUGGUUUCUAGGNCCGCCGUAAUGAUUAAUAGGGAUAGUCGGGGGCAUCAGUAUUCAAUCGUCAGAGGUGAAAUUCUAGGAUUGAUUGAAGACUAACUACUGCGAAAGCAUUUGCCAAGGAUGUUUUCAUUAAUCAGUGAACGAAAGUUAGGGGAUCGAANNNNNAAUUGGNCCCUCUNGANGCNUNCUNGANCNNC